rnacentral:lncRNA from 1 species
CCCUUGUUGCACGUAGAAGGCUGCAGUUGGAGACGGGACAACUAGGUUCUGGGAAGCCAUGGCAGAAAUCACGCAGACUCUGAUUCCCGCCGAGAACCAGCCUAAAGAACCACUCAUGGCAAGACGGGGGCCCACCGGCCUGCUGGCUCCUCACCAAACUCUACUCCGCAUUGACUGUGGGCUCUUGUUCUAGAGGCACCCGCAUCCUCAGGAUGAAAUGUGAGUACAAGAGCAGAGACUGCCGGUGCUGGUGUUUGCAGGCUCUGAUUCAACAGAAAUCUGGAAGUGUUCACAGCUUGGCCCGGAGAAGAUCGUUUUAAAUCUACAGCUUUAAAAUGUGGUUGAAAAGGAGCCCAGGUUGGAUUCUGCCAGCAGGUCCGCUGGCCGCUGUUACCUCCCCACUGUCAACGCCUAGGUCUCUGCCUCCAGCCCUGUUUCAGCCUGUCCUUGAGGAUUUGCUUCACCUCAUUUACUGAGCUUGCCACAGAUUCAUUACCUGGCAUCAGAGCUCCCCUCUCACUGAGCCUGCCCAGAGGGGUGCCAGUAUACUAGCCAGAUGCCGCUGGAGGGACUCCACAAUAAAGCCUGGCUAUUAAAGACUUCAACAGUCUCAUAAAGUCACUUUGCCAGCUGUAGAGCACACAAGUGCCCACAGAUCCAAGCCUCCUUCCUUCCCCAAAGAAACACCUUGGAUAAAGUCUUGGAAUAUCAUCCAUUAGCACAUGGCUCCAGCCAACACAUGAAUUCCCUUACACCAGCACAUGGUCUCUCUUUCCUGUUCAUUCACUUUGGAAGACAGUCCUUGAAAUGACAAGGCCUGGAGUGUCUUGUACAACCACCGCCAAUCCGGUUUCCAGCAGAGGCUUGUGGGCUAGGGAGUGUAUCGAUUUGUAUUGUUAAAGGAAUUUCCUGCUCCUCUCAGUGUCAGCUGAAGAGCCCUCUGCAGUCAUUCUCCUAUUUUGAGAGAAGAGAAACAAGAGGAGACGAACUCCUGGUUCCUUCCUACGGGGUGUAUAGACCAGUGACAAUGUUAGUCCUACAAUUUGGAUUUAUUUGUUUGUUUUCUAAUCACCGCCACUUCUCCAAGUACAAAGUCUGUGUCUAUAAUUAGAUAUCUUCUACAUGUUACACCGGCAAGUCCAUCUCAUCAUUUUACAGAGGGAUGGUGACUUCCUUUAGCGCCCCAUACUGACCGCGGUCCCUCACCUGCUGACUGAUUGACUUAUAAAUCUGCCCCCCACCCACUUGUCUGUCCAUUGAAGGCAAAUUCGCCAUCGGGAACACAGUAGUUUCUCAAUAACUAUCUAAUGCAUGGCCACCCUUCCCAGGAUUUAGAAUAUCAAAGGGACGUGUUCUUUCCUCCCAAAUCACCUGCCUGCGCUUCCCCCAGCCGGGUGCCCCAGCCUUCACCUCGGUCCGGCCACCACCUCAUCCCGCUUCUUCGCGGCUUCCAGGCCUCGGGCUGGGAUCUCAGCCCCUGCCUGUAGGUGCGGCCCAGAGGGUGCGACACGCGUCGGAGCGGGGCAGCGGAGGAGGGGACAGGGACGCGGCAGCCACACCCGCAUCUCUUUCCCCUCUCGGGCAUCCCCGAGGGCCCUUCUGCCUCCAGUUCCUUGAGCCCCCGAAGCCCCCCAUGCGGCAAGAGCGAGUCGCAGGAACAAGUGGGGAAUCUUGGCCGCGGCCCCCUCCCCCGCCUUAUAAAAAAGAAAUUGACUUUUGUUUGGAGUUUGUGAAAAGUGGGGCUCGGGGCCCAGUCAAUGGGGCGCCCCGCGGCGCGGGCUGAGUGGAGCUAGCGCGAACCGCUCAGCCGCGGCCCCAAUUAAUCCGCCCUUUGUGCGGCCCGCCCGGCCGCCCCCGCCGCAGCCGCACCAGCGGCCCAUUGUUCGGCCUCGCCGGGCCGCGGGAUUUACCCUUUUCAAACAGCCGGUUUUGUCCAGGGCAGUUCGAGCGGAAGUUUCUCACUGACAAUUUGCCCCAAAUAGAUAGAUUUGUCAGAAGCGACCUUCGGGAAGGAAGCAAAAAGCCACCGGCCCGAAGGUUGGGCCCAAAACAGGGACUCUGCGUCCCACCCGCGGCCGCGCCGCCCCCCCGCGCCCCCGGCCCUGCAGUCCCGAAGCCCCGCGGGGGUCCAGACCACUGCACCUGCUGAGCCAGACACUCCGCGGACCUGACCUCCGUUUUACCCAUCUGUAAAAUGGAGCAGCUGGGCGCUGGCAAGCCGUAAGUCCAAGAGCUUUGGCUCCACCAGCGUGUACGACGCUCAUUUCCUUUCUCUCUCCCCACACCCUUUCCAAAAACUGUAAGCCAGAAAACCUGGCCAGGCCUCCGCGACGGCGAGAAACGGUCUUGAAGGUCGGUCGGUCGCCGUAAUGCGGUCCGGAUCGUGCACGUGCUGUUUCGCCACUGCCCUCCGGCUCCUCCUUAACAAAGAUGUCAACCGUGCUAAAUCACAGGUGGUGCCUUUGUAAGACCAGCUAUUGUCCCCUCAUAAGUCAAGAUAUAAAACGCUUUGUACUGAAUGGCCCAUGAUCUGGAGCGCUCAACUUGGGAGUUGAGCUGUUAGAUUUUCUUUUCCCCACCCACCAGAGCCACUCUUCUCCCAAAUGACCUCACUUAAUAAGCAAAAUUUAAAUGGGGUGGGGGGGGACUCAACAUGCUGUGGAUGAAAAGAAUAGUUACUGAUUUCUUCACACUUAAUGGCAUGUAGGAGUCUUUUAAAAUACAGUCUCAUACCAAACAGAUCUGUGAAUUUUAAGCAGAACUGAAUUGUAUUAAUCAGUUGAUGGGUUUGUUCAUCUUCUAUCACUAGAUGAGAAAUACAAAGGUUGGGAAUCCACAGCGUCUAAUUCUACUGUACUUAAGCAAUCUCUCCCUUUAGUCCAGAAAAUUUCCUACUAGUUGCACAUGAGAGAAAAAUUGAAGCAAAAAAAAAAAAAUCUGUUUUUUGUUUAUCCAUCAGGUGAAUACACACUUCAGCAUCAUACAGAGGAAACCCUAGGUGGUCUUUAGCAAGAUUUCAGUGGUUAAGAGCUACAAUUUAGAAAAGAUGACAAUACAUACACAGUGUCAAUAGUAUUUAAACAAACAUCCCAGACAACAGAAUAAUGGUUAUUAACUAUGAUGCUUUGGGCUUCUGACUAAUUUCCCAUGUCUGUCUGCAGCCAAACAGCUGCAGGAUUUUUCCCCCUUUAAAAACUGUUUGUGCAUCAUUUUAAAAAUUGCAUUUAACAGCCAUAUUCUCCAGAGCAGUCCCUCUGUGUGGAACUGAAGUGAAUGGUUUAGCAAUAGCGAUGAAGCCAGUAAGUAGUAAGAAUGUCUUUCAUGCCAAAAGAACUCUAACCACUCUGCUAGAAAUGGGCUACAUUUUUACUCUCUGAAAUGUAGAAGCUGUCUGCUACUGUAUGACCUUCAGUAUGGUUUACAUGUCUAAAUAAAUGGAAUUAUUUAACCCU